AUCAUUUCUGACCUUUUGGCUAAGAUCAAGUGUAUAUCUGUUCUUAUCAGUUUAAUGUAUAUACAAACAAGUAUAAGUAAACUGGGGGAAUGUGAACAAAUUCACUGGAUUAUACCAAUGUCAAUCCUA
ensembl:snRNA U2 U2 spliceosomal RNA